rnacentral:misc_RNA from 1 species
GUGGGAAGCAGGGCAUUGA